GACGAACGCUGGCGGCGUGCUUAACACAUGCAAGUCGAACGGAAAGGCCCCUUUGGGGGUACUCGAGUGGCGAACGGGUGAGUAACACGUGAGUAACCUGCCCUUGACUUCGGGAUAACUUCAGGAAACUGGGGCUAAUACCGGAUAGGAAUCCUUGCUGCAUGGUGGGGGUUGGAAAGCUUCGGCGGUUUUGGAUGGACUCGCGGCUUAUCAGCUUGUUGGUGGGGUAGUGGCUUACCAAGGCUUUGACGGGUAGCCGGCCUGAGAGGGCGACCGGCCACAUUGGGACUGAGAUACGGCCCAGACUCCUACGGGAGGCAGCAGUGGGGAAUAUUGCACAAUGGGCGGAAGCCUGAUGCAGCAACGCCGCGGGCGGGAUGACGGCCUUCGGGUUGUAGACCGCUUUCAGCAGGGGCGAAGCUUGUGGUGACGGUACCUGCAGAAGAAGCACCGGCUAACUACGUG
rnacentral:rRNA from 1 species